AUAAACUUGCUGUAGCCCAAAAGCCAGUGACCAGCCCUCAAGCCCCGUGCCCUGGCAGCCGGUUGGAUACCAUGGGACCAACACCCCAGUGCCUUCACCAGGUGCCUGUUCACACUGCCAUGCUUUGACACUGCUGUGCUGGUUCCUGGAGCUUCAUCCCACUGAGCUCCUGUGACACCACCGUGCUCGUUCCUGGAGCUCUUUUCCAUUGUGCUCCCCACCCGCAGGGUGCCCGGACAGUGCCCGUGGGGUCAGGGUGGGAGGCGUGCAGCGUUCCUGGUUCCACAGCCCUGGCAGAGCGGGGGCAUCUGUGUGGCGUGUGGUCAGUGGCAUUUGAAGUCAGUUUCUCUUUCAUCCCAGAUGAGCUGCUUUAAUCCCGGAGCUGUCCUGGCUUUUCCUCUCCUCCGCUUGACUUCACCUGUGGUGAGAGGCCAUGGAGUGCGAGCACAUCUUCAGAUUUCAGCCUUGUCCAUCAGCCAGUGCACCCAGAGAGCACCUGCCCAAGGAGCAGCCAUAGAGCAGCAAAUGUGAGGGGGAAGGAGCCUAAACCAGGAUCGUGGGGACAAAUUAGCAGGUGCCUGUGGAAUAUUGCUCACUCCGUCUGCGAUUCCGGAGCCUACACACCCUGCAAAUCCUCCUCAGUGCUCAGAGAAGUGACCCUGCACUCGGUACUGACCCUGCAGAACUUGGAGGCAGAUUUAAAAAGAGUUCCGAAAUCUUCUGUUUAUUUCUGUGAAUUUUGGAUCCAAUUCCUCUAAAUCAAAGAUAAAUAAAGUUUACAGUGAGACAGUACUUGGCAAGAACACAAUUUCCAACCCUCCUCCUCAAAAUCUCUACUUCCCACUCAGUUCAUGCCCUUUUUCCCUACAUUUUCCCUACAUAUUUCAGCUGAAAUCCAGGACCACAGCAGAUGGUUCCCACUGACUUUUCCAUGCCCUUUUCCCAUGUCAGCACCUUGCUGAUCUCCUGCUCCUUCCUGGGAUGCUCUGACCAGGUACCAUUUCCCUGAGGCUGCAGCAGCCACUGUGACAUCCAUAAUUAGGCAAGUUUAAGAGCCAGAUUCUGCUGACAGUCACAGAAGCAGGAUGUUACAUUCUUCUAUAAGCAGACAUGUAAAUAAGAGACAUAUUCCAUGGUCUCUAUGUCAUCUAUCCAUGGAAAACAACCCUCCUACGUGCUGCUCUUGCAGAGGCGUCAGUGUGGGAGUCCCCGGAGCGCUGCCAGAGUGUGGCUAUGCUCUGGGGGCACAAGGUGAUGGUGCCACCAUCACACACCACGUGGCUUCUUCCUGGGCAAAACCUGCACCCAUGGCCACUCUGCCAUUUGCUCAUGGCACUUCCUAAGAUUGGGAUUAUCAGGAUUAAGCAAGGAGCCCUCACAGCUGCCCUGCUGUGGUUGUUAAAACUCCCAUUGUAAUUACAGCAUGGAAUAUUGUACGGAAUCAGGAACUGAUGUGUGACUUGCACAGUGCUUAGCCCCAAACUGACGCUUCCCCAACACCCUGCAGGGACCACCAUGUGGCUCAGCCCCACAUGCUGCAGACCAUCCUUGGCACAGGCUCAGCACCAACUCCUGGCAAAUCCUGUGUCCACCAGAGCCUACAAACACUGGACAUCCAAGCCUUGUAACACGAGGGUUACACACUACAGGGCAACAGCGAUGGAGAAACCAAAUGUUCUGCGCCUGUUGGAAGACAGAAUCCUGCACCUGGUUGUUGUACACCUUUAUUGAGCACAGCAAACGCAGCCCGGCACCUCUUGCUGGGCACACAAUCUCCAGGUACAAGAAAUGGCAUUUUUGUGGGUGCUCCUGUCUCAGAACAAAGCAUCACAGCCCCCAGGAACACCCUCAGACCUCCCAGCGCUCCUUCAACAAACCAUGAGCCCAAUUAACAGUUACAUUCUGCUUUGUCAAGGCAUCUGGGGUGGUGCAGAGGGGAAGAGGCCAACACAGCUCUGCUGGUGCUACCAGGCAGCCCCACCACGCUCACAUUAACCGUGGGACCUGCCUCCAGGCUCAUGUUUCCAGCUCUUCACUCAAGUUCUCCUCUGCAGCACCUGAAGGAAGCAAAGCACGGCCCAGCUUGGAUUUCACCCCCAGAGGUUUCUGUGGGGUGGAAGCCGAGCCAGCACCGGCAUUGUGUGGGAACCUGCCAGCAAACAUGGGCUGUGCGGGGUCAGCGUAAGGACAGAGCUUUGGAAUUGUCUGCUUUAAUCCUUAAACAAAUCAAGUAAACAAGCUUUGUUAAUGCCUCCGUUGUUGUCUGAGCGGUUUCACACCUGUGGGACCCUCCUUGAGCCAGCCAGAAGAAUGGAAUGAGGAGUGUUCACCAGGACACCGGGCUCACACCAGCCCCCCUCCAUCCCAGACAAUCCACCCUCUGUCAUUAAUGGAGAAGUGGGAAGACUUUGAUGUGGCUUCUGUAAAUGCAUCUCAAGCACCUUGAGGUCUUUGAGGAGCCAGCAGAGACUACUUGGGGUUCCACAAGGCAGGGGACAAGGAUCCUACCAGCUCCUAGGAUGCACUGGAACAAGACUGAGGGUCUCCCCCGGGCAGUUAAUCCAUUAAAAGGAAAAAGUGGCUCCAUAACAUAUGGGAUUGACAGGCAGCUUCCUCAGGAGCAGAGGGAAUGAUGAUGGCAAGAAGUUAUUUAGAGCAGCCAAAAUGGAACUAAAUGUAGAGAGUGCCAGGAAAACGGUAUUAAAAAAAAUAAAAAUCAAAAUCCAGGUAAAAGUGAUGCCUAUGGAGAAAACAGACACGUUUGCACCAUCACACCAUCCCCGUUCCUCAGGCAAACCCAACAGUCCUGGAUCCAACCAGCUGACCAUUGUGAAGCCCUACACUGCCUUGAGUGACCCCAACUCAGCAGGGUGAUGCUUUGGCCAACAUGUGCCUUCCAGCUUCAAAACCUUCCCCUGAUACAGAACCCACUCUAAAUCCCCCCCAACUGGUGUUCAUGGAUCAUGAUUUUGUGAUUAACACGAGAAAGCACCUCUUCCCAGUUUGAACUGCUUGGGCUUUAACCAGUGGCCUUUGUAGGACCACUG